ACAGCUGGCGUGUUCGUCGGGGCCAAUCGACGAACGGGGUGUAAGGUUUUGGUGGUCGCGUUCAGACAAUUUGUUCGUAUUAUCUUCGAAUUUUAGCUUUGCGACGUCUCGCAGUUGUUUCGAGGAUUAUACGUGUAUCUUUGUGCGUUUGAAGGAUGAUGAUUUUUUUACGAUUUUUGGGCUGGAUGAGGCUGCAGACAAGAGUCUUAAUGUU
rnacentral:lncRNA from 1 species